UGGGAGCUUGCUCCCUGAUGUUAGCGGCGGACGGGUGAGUAACACGUGGGUAACCUGCCUGUAAGACUGGGAUAACUCCGGGAAACCGGGGCUAAUACCGGAUGGUUGUUUGAACCGCAUGGUUCAAACAUAAAAGGUGGCUUCGGCUACCACUUACAGAUGGACCCGCGGCGCAUUAGCUAGUUGGUGAGGUAACGGCUCACCAAGGCAACGAUGCGUAACCGACCUGAGAGGGUGAUCGGCCACACUGGGACUGAGACACGGCCCACACUCCUACGGGAGGCAGCAGUAGGGAAUCUUCCGCAAUGGACGAAAGUCUGACGGAGCAACGCCGCGUGAGUGAUGAAGGUUUUCGGAUCGUAAAGCUCUGUUGUUAGGGAAGAACAAGUACCGUUCGAAUAGGGCGGUACCUUGACGGUACCUAACCAGAAAGCCACGGCUAACUACGUGCCAGCAGCCGCGGUAAUACGUAGGUGGCAAGCGUUGUCCGGAAUUAUUGGGCGUAAAGGGCUCGCAGGCGGUUUCUUAAGUCUGAUGUGAAAGCCCCCGGCUCAACCGGGGAGGGUCAUUGGAAACUGGGGAACUUGAGUGCAAAAGAGGAGAGUGGAAUUCCACGUGUAGCGGUGAAAUGCGUAUAGAUGUGGAGGAACACCAGUGGCGAAGGCGACUCUCUGGUCUGUAACUGACGCUGAGGAGCGAAAGCGUGGGGAGCGAACAGGAUUACAUACCCUGGUAGUCCACGCCGUAAACGAUGAGUGCUAAGUGUUAGGGGGUUUCCGCCCCUUAGUGCUGCAGCUAACGCAUUAA
rnacentral:rRNA from 1 species